AGGUCAGGCUCACAUUCCAUUUAGGCCUUCAACUGAUUGGAAAAGGUGCACUCACAUUAGGGAAUACAAUCUGCUUCACUCAAAGACCACCAAUUUGAAUGUUAAUUUCAUCCAUAACAACCUCACAGAAACAGCUAAAAUAAUGUUUGACCACAUAAAUAGGGAACCAUGGCGCAGCCAGCUGGACUCAUAACGUUAACCAUCACAGUAGCCCUGGGUCCUAGGCACCCAAAAAUUUCUCUAGGAAUAGUUGCUGGCUUUGUCUAGAUUUAGGGAAAUCCUCAAUCAGAGCUUUCAAUUCAGCCUGGUUCCCGGGUUUACAUUCUGCAGCUGUCAGUAUACCUGGUUUCUGGGAGCAAUAAGACUUUGGAGACAACAAUUAUUUGGGGGGUCAUACAAGAGUCAUUGGUAAAAGCUAGACAGACAAGGGCAAGAGGAAGGAGGAGCUGAUGGGAGUGCAGAGGAGAGGGGCCAGAAGGAAAGUAAACAACGAGAUAUUCGUACAAGGGGCUGCCACACAGCAAUCAAAAGAAACGAACCAUGCUACAAACAAUGACAGUGAAUCCCACAGAUAACCAGCAGGGCAAAGAGGUCAGAAACAAGAGAUAACACACUAUAUUACACCAUUUGUAUGAGGAGAAGGCCAGGAAAUCCUACACGUUAGGGAGAGGCUUUAGAAUAGUGGUUACCUUGUGGCAAGGGGGUGCUGUGCACUGGGAAGAGACAUGGCUGGUUCCCUGGGGACUGUGUGACCUACGUCUCAAGCAGGUGGUAGCUACAUGGACUGGCAGUUAUGUGGGGUGGUAGUUAUGGGGGGGUGGUAGUUAUUCAAGGUGGUAAUUACACAGAAUGGUAGUUACAUGGGGUGGUAGUUACAUGGGGUGGUAGUUAUUCAAGGUUGUAUUUGCAGGGUGAUAGUUACAUGGAUGGUAGUUGUUUGAGGUGUAGUUACAUGGGGUAGUAGAUAUUUGGGGUGGUAGUUACAGAGGUUGGUAAACACACAGGGUGGUAGUUACAUGUGGUGGUAGUUACAUGGGAUAGUAGUUACACAGAGUGAUAGUUACAUGAGGUGUUAGUUAUUUGGGGUAGUAGAUAUGUAGAUGGUAGUUACUUGGGGUGGUAGUUAUUCAGGGUGGUAGAUACAUAGGGUGGCAGUUGUGUGAGGUGGUAGUUUUUUGGAGUGGUAGCUACAUGGAGUGGUAGCUACAUGAGUUCGUAGUUAUUUGGGGUGGUAGUUACACAGGGUAGUAGUCACAUGGGGUGGUAGUUAUUUGGGAUGGUAGUUGUUACAUGGGGUGAUAGUUAUAUGCAGUGGUAGUUAUCUGGGGUGGUAGUUACAUAAGGUGGUAGUUAUGUGGGGUGGUAUUUACACGGGGCGGUAGUAACAUGCGGUGGUAGUUACAAGGGGUGGUAGUGUGAACCCAGAAAAUCUGAGACAGGUCUCAGUUAAUUUACAAAGUUUAUUUUGCCAAGGCUGAGGAUGCGCACCUGUGACACAGCCCCAGGAGGUCCUAAUGACAUGUGCCUAAAGUGGUCACAGCACAGUUUGGUUUUAUACAUUCUAGGGAGACAUGAGACAUCAGUUAAUAUAUGCAAGAUGAACACUGGUUCGGUCUGGAAAGGCGGGACAACUUGGAGGAAAGAUGGGAAGACUCAAAGUGAGGAGUGGGCUCCCAGGUUGUAGGUAGAUAAGAGACAAAUUGUUGCAUUCUUUUGAGUUUCUGAUUAGCCUCUUCAAAGGAGGCAAUCAGAUGAGCAUUUAUCUCAGUGAGCAGGGGCGACUUUGGAGAGAAUGGGAGGCAGGUUGGCUCUAAGCAGUUCCCAGCUUGACUUUUCCCUUUAGCUUAGCGAUUUGAAGGCCCCAAGAUUGAUUUUCCUUUCACAGUAGUUACAUGGGGUGGUAAUUACAAAGGGUGGUAGUUACAUGGGAUGGUAAUAACUCAGGAUGGUAGUUACAUGGGGUGGUAGUUACAUGGGGUGGUAGUUACAUAGGGUGGUAGUUGUCAGAGUUGUAAUUAUGUGGAUUGGUAGUUAUUCAGGGUGAUAAUUAAAAUGGGUGGUAGUUAUGCAGGAUGUUAGUUACACGGCGUGGUGGUUAUUGUGGGUAUUACUUACACAGGGUGGUAGUUAUUCGGGGUGGUAGUUACACUGGGUGGUAGCGAUACAGGGUGGUGGUCAUUCAGGGUGGCAAUUAUUGAAGGUGAUAGUUAUUCGGGGUGGUAGUGACACAGGGUGGUAUUUAGGUGGGUUGGUGGUUAUUCUGGGUGAUAGUUAUUCAGGGUGGUAGUUACACUGGGCUGUAGUUAAAAGGGUUGGUGAUUAUUUGAGGUGGUAGUGACACAGGGUGGUAGUUAUUCAAAGUGGUAGUUAUUUGGAGUGAUAGUGAUGCAGGGUGGUAGUUAGGCGGAUUGGUGGUUAUACAGGGUGGUAGUUAUUCAGGGUGGUAGUCACAUGGGUGGUGGUUAUAUGGGUGAUACACAGGGUGGUGGAUAUGCAGGGUGGUAGUCACAUGGUGUGGUAGUUAUUCAAGGUGGUAGUUAUUUGGGGUGGUAGUGAUACAGGGUGGUAGUUAGGCGGGUUGGUAGUUAUUCGAAGUGGUGGUUACACAGGGUGGUAGUCACAUGAGGUGGUGAUUAUUGCAUGGUACUCACACGCGGUGGUGGAUAUACGGGUGGUAGUCACACGGGGUGGUAGUGACACAGGGUGGUAGUUAUUCAAAGGGGUAGUUAUUUGGGGUGGUAGUGACACAGGAUGGUAGUUAGGCGGGUUGGUGGUUAUACAAAGUGGUAGUUAUUCAGGGUGGUAGUCACACAGGGUGGUGGUUAUAGGGGUGGUACUCACACAGGGUGGUGCAUAUACGGGGUGGCAGUCACACAGGGUGGUAGUUAUUCGAGGUGGUAGUUUUUCGGAGUGGUAGUUAUUCAGAGGGUGGUAGUUAGGCAGGUUGGUGGCUAUUCGGGGUGGUAGUCAGUUAUUGGGGUGGUACUCACACAGGGUGGUGGCUAUGCAGGGUGGCAGUCACACAGGGUGGUAGUCAGUUAUUGGGGUGGUACUCACACAGGGUGGUGGCUAUGCGGGGUGGCAGUCACACGGGGUGGUAGUUAUUGGGAUAGUGACUAUGUGGGGUGGCAGGCGGGGUGGCAGUCACAUGGGGUGGUAGUUAUUGGGGUGGUGGCUAUGCGGGGUGGCAGGCCGGUUGGCAGUUGCGUGGGUGCAGCUCUCCAGUUUUGUGCACUUUGUGUUUGUCAUUCCCGCUGGUGCGCUUGUAAAUGUUUAAUAAGCAGCUGUCUGGGCAAGAAAGCUCUAGUUUGCAGUGUUUGCCCCUUCCGAGGCAUGACUCUUCUCACCUGUGGCCACUUCCAGGCUGCACAUGUGACGUCCAUGAGCACAGUUAGGGAGGGCCGUGGAUCCGCAUCACCUUGCGAGCAUAAAUGCAGUCAAAUGUGAAUGAGCUGCAAGUGACAAGUUUGAGUAUUUUUUCCCUUCAUUUUAAUACAAUUCAUCUAAUAGUAAGUUUUUAACGUUUAAUUUUUAAUGAUUUCUGUGUUAACAACU
rnacentral:lncRNA from 1 species